UCUUGAUGGGCAGAAGACUAUUUUUGUUGUUUACUGUUUGGUUUGUUUUGGGGGUGGAGACAUUUUAAAUUAAAGCAAUUUAGCUUCCUGUGCCUCUCAUUCCAUUGUUAUUUCAUUUUCUAAUAGAAUUACUUGUUUCUUAAGCCUCUGAAUGCAUCCUGAUGAUGGCUUUUGUGAGCUAUUACUUGAUGGGGGCAAAAAUAUUUCAAAUUUUGGAGACAGACAUUCAUGAAGUGCUGAAAAAUUCCAUUUGAGAAGCCAAAGCAGCUUUAAUGGCAAACUAUGCCGACAUAACUACAGAAGAAGUUGAAAUCUUUACAGACUGAAGACUGAGAUCUGUGGAAUGGUGGUGACAUUUCUCAAAAGGACAUGGAAGGAUCCACCCACAAUUUUUUUUUUUUUUUUUUUUACAUGACAUGCCCAUAUUCCUGCCUGUGAUGGGAUACAGAUUUUAUUAUCCGAGGAGGAAUGCUCUCUCUAGAGGACAAGAAUGGUUCCACUAAACUGGAAGUAGAGACAGUCAUCUGAUGCUUUUGAGGUCCACAUUUCACUGAGACCCCAUGGGGAAGAGGUCAAGAUUCUUCACUUGCAGUAGACAGUUUCCUUGCAUUAGUUGUGAGGCAAAAUCUGUUGGCCAUGAAGGACCCUUGCUUGCCAUUUAAGCUGAUAUUUUUCUGCCUGUUCUUUACGUAAGUAAAGCAUUGCUCCAUCCAAUGCCUGUGUAAGCUGUGCCUUUCCUGGCAAUUUUCUUGCAAGUUGGAAGACACAUGCAAACCAUCCAGGAGUUUGAUGUCCUAAAACUGCUACUCAUGGUGAUAGGCAACAGACGUUAUUUGCUUCACAAUACUGGCACAAAAAUCCUCAAUAAAAUACUAGCAAAGAGAAUUCAACAGCAUACCAAAAGAAUUGUAUGACUUGUCCAAUUGAGAUUAUUCCUGAAAUGCAAGGAUAAUCAAAUAUAUGAAAAUCAGUCACUAUAAUAUACCACAUUAGCAAAAUGAAGAAAAAACCCAUAUGAUCAUCUUGAUUGAUGCAGAAAAAGCAUUUCACAAAAUUCAACACCCUUUCAUGAUAAAAAAAAAAAAAUACUAAAUGUUUAGAGAAAGAAGCAAACUACCAUAUAGAAAGGAAACUAACGAAUAGAGAGAAACCAACCAAACAUAAGAAGGCCAUAUAUUUAAAAACAGCUAAUAUCAUGCUCAAUGGUAAAAUACUGAAAACUUUUUCCUUAAGAUUAACAAGACAAGGAUGUCUGCUUUGCCACUUCUAUUUAACAUAGUGUGAAAAUCCUAGACAGAGCAAAUAAGCAUAAAUAAAUAAGUGGCAUCCAAUUGGAAAGGUUGAAGUAAAAUUAUCUCCAUUUAUAGAUGACAUGAUCGUGUAUGUAGAAAACCCUAAAGAUUCCAUUAAAAACCCUAUCAGAAUAAGUGAAUUCAGCAAAGUUGCAGGAUACAGUAUCAACACAAAAUUCAGUUGAUUUUUAGACACAAUCCAAAAAGGCAAUUAAGAAAACAAUUCUGUUUGUAAUAGCAUCAAAAAGAAUACUUAGAAUAAACUUAACCUAGGAAAUCUACAAAAUGUAGCUGAAAGAAACUAAAGAAAAUACAAGUGGGAAGAUAGCCUUUGCUCAUGAAUUGGAGGGCUUAACAUUUUUAUGAGAUCAAUACUACCCUAAGUGAUCUAUAGAUUUUUAAAAAUUCUAAUCAAAAUCCCAAUAGUUUUUUGUAAGAAAUAGAAACAUUCUUUCCAAUUUGGUAUGGGAUAUCAAGAGAUGCCAAAUAGCCAAAACAAUCUUGAAAAACAAAGCUAGAGGUCUCACAUUUUUAAAUUUCAAAGCUGCAAAGGUA